AUUAACAUAAUCUUCUUUGUCAGCAAAGUUUUAUUCAUAUAAAAAAUAGUAAUCAAAACAAAAAUGAAACCCAGCAAAAGAAUACGCAAAAUUUAAAUAAUUUGUCUGACUUGUGAACUUGAGAGUUGAUAUCUUAGUCGAGUGAAAAAUAUCGUAUAAAUAUACUCUCAAUCGAAAUUCAAUCCAACAGAUACAAAUUUGUCUUUAACCAACUCACUUCAGAGAAAGCACAAUCUUCUUUUCCAAAAUGAAAUUCUUCUUAGUUACACUUUUGGUUUGCUUUGCCAUUAUGUUGGCAGUAGUAUCAGCUGCUCCAUCGGAAGAAGGAAUUUUCGGAGACUUACCCGACAGUGAUAUUGCCAAUCCACAGGAACCAAGUGAAUCACUGAAAUUGUUGCUCCUCAAGAAACUCAAGCUUAAGUUAUUGAAGGGUUAAACUAUUGUACAGUUAAAUUAUGUUUUAUGACUUAUGUACCUAAACUAAAGUUAACUAUUUUUAAGAUAUUGUUACAAUAAAAAAUUAUUUAAUAAGAAA